GCGGUCAUAAUCUAUAAUCAGAUUCAUUUAUUCAUAUGGCAUAGCCUACAAAACCACACAAGAAUGUAAAGGAUCCUGACAUCCAGCAAGAAAAGAUGAGGUCAAGCAUGCAGUAAAACAAACAGAAGAGUGAAUGCUUUGCUGAAUCAUAGGAAAAUUACAUUGCUGCAAGGACGGUAGAUAUCCGAAGAAACUAGUCAUCUCAGCUAGAUAGACCACAUUGUCUUUGAAUAAACUGCCCCCAUAGAUUUCUGACCUGAAAAUAAUAAGGCAGAAUAAUGGGGAUAGUGUCCCUAUGACAGCAAUGUGCAAUAUGGAUUUGCUUUGCUGAGAAUAAUAGUUUGCAUAGUAUGAUUAAUGCUAAUGGAGAUAUAUCUUACAAAGCACAUUAACUGGUGAUGCCAAAUAUUACAUUGAUCAUAUUCAAGAACACAUUAUUUUGUUGUUUGAAAAAGCAAAAUCCAAUUAAAACUAUUAACAUGGUUGCCUUAAAGCAGACAGCAAUUCUGUCUCAUUCUAGAACAGCAAUUGGAUUUCGGUGGACCAUCAUUCUGCCUCGGCUUGAAAAUAUAUGUGUACUUUCUACUUCCCCAUCCCAUAUGUCUAAUUUUAUCCAUCUUCCAUUUGGUACCUAUGUGGCUGAGUCUCUAACCUCCUCAUGUCUUUAUUCUGCUUUGCCAAUGUGAAAUUAUGUCCUUGUUUCCACUUUUACUCCUAAUGUAUGUCAUUUUUUUGUCUCUUGCCAUGUGACCAUCCUGCCAUUUUUUACUCUUUCUGUGUGGUAUACUGUCAUUCUUUUAAUAGGAACUCAUGAGGUAUUCUGUCUUUCUGUAUCUCAAUCCAUGCACCAUUCUGCCCCUCUUCUUUCCUCUUUCAUUUAGCAUGCUAUAUGCAUUCUGUACUUAAUUAACUCUUUUAAAAUGUGGCAUUUUUUUCUCUAACCACCUGGCAUUCUCCACAUGUAGCAUGUAGCAUAUUUAAGAAUCCCUGAUCUAGGUGGAUAAUGCACAAUAGAAAUAACAUAUAAAACAAUGAUCAUAUUUAUACCUGCAGCUCAUAGACAGAAGUUGCAAUUGUUUUAAAAUGUUGUAUUCAGGCUUUGAUUUAGUACCUGUGUGCUGGUUCUUAAUUAUAAGUAGUUAUUAUUGUGGUUAUAAUACAGGACAGUUCUGUAUAUUUUUUUAUGGUGCAUGAUUAAUAAUAAAAUUGUGUGGCUUCUAA